UCAAACACAGGAAGAAACAGAGCUUCCUACAAAAACCCUAGCCUCACAAAAAUCAUCUCAAAAAUCAAAGAAAGAAGUUGAUUAAAGAUCAAUUUCAAGUCAAUUAAGUGAUUACUACACAUAGAGAAUUACAAGGAAAUUUGGGUGGAUCGUCAAGUAGUCAAGGCGGAACGGAUAGUUGUUUAAAAGGAAAGCUCUAAAGGAAAUUUGGGUGGAUCGUCAAGUAGUCAAGGUGGAAUGGAUAGUUGUUUGAAAGGAAAGGUCUAAAGGUAACUAUGAACAACUUUCGGAUGAUGAUCAAGUUGGCUAGAGGACCAAACACACCCGCAUCAGCAAAGUUUCUGCUUCUAUAUUAAUAGUUUCUUUUGAAACCAAACUUUUGUAAAAAUAAAAUAAUCAUCUUUUGGAAGUUGUUUUUUUCAGUUUGCUAAAUACUAGUUGCAUGUUUUGAUAAACAUGGCAUGGGUGAAAUAA